rnacentral:lncRNA from 1 species
AUGAAGGUCUUUCUUCUGGGGGUCUUAGAUUGCUCCAGAAGCCCCGCGACUUCCCCCUGGAGAGCAGACCCUGACCUCGUGGUGCUUUGUGCCCAGGGUCGGGGAGACACUGUCCAGUGUAGAUUUUCAAUGAACAUUUUGCUGCUUCUGCCAAGACUGCCUGCCUCCUUUCUUGGCAGGUGUCUUCCUCGCAGCACACUCCGUCCUGAGGCUUUCUCUGCCCUGCUCCUCCAUCAGCUUUCUAUUGCCUUGAAAUUUGUUAUAAUAUCUUGUCUGCUGAGGUUGCCUCACCCAUUGUCUUUAUGUUAGAUUCCUUUGCAUUCUUUAAUAGUCAUUUUAGGAGUCUCUCAAGAAAAAGGGGAAUAAGCCACGCAGUGAAUUUAUCAUCCCCAGGGACAUGUCGGCCCAAGCCCUUCCUUCAUCCUGCUGAUUACAACGCUGGCCCAGUUGCGAGGCCCUCCACGUGUGUCUCCUGUGCUCGCUCUCUCCUCCCUGGGCCCAGGCACCUCUUCCUCUCCUUUCAAGGCUCUUUCCUCAGGAAAGGACCAUAGACUCCUUUACUCUGAGGGUGCCUGUCAGGUGAGAAUUUAUUGUUCAGACCUAACCAAUGAACAGUGAAUGGGGGAUCCAGUUCUAAGGCUUAGUUUACGGAUGCUCUGUCUCAGGCAUCAGUGCUGUUCUUCCAUGAUCACUGAAAUGACCCCGCGUUACUCACUGGUGACAGUAGCACAGAUGUGACUCUCCCAGAGGCUGAGACUGACCAGCUGUGGCUGGAGAGCGGCUGCGUGACUGCAUGACACCCCUUGCCCCCAGGCCUGGCUGCUGGGCCUGUGAUGGCCAAGGGGCUGCUGUCGUCCCUGGGGAUGAGAAAUUCACGGCAUGUCUCAUCCCCCUUUCUCUGGGGACUAUAGAGCCAGGUUACCCUGGAAGUGGCUCUGCUCCCCAGGCCUCCAUGGGCCACUGGUCUCCCUGAGUCCUGGGGAGCUCCACCAAGAGGAUCCCCUGCAGAAGGAGCUG